rnacentral:rRNA from 1 species
UACGUAGGCAGCGAGCGUUGUUCGGAGUUACUGGGCGUAAAGAGUGCGUAGGCGGUUUUCUAAGUUUGGUGUGAAAUCUCCCGCUUAACUGGGAGGGUGCGCCGAAGACUGGAAGGCUUGAGUAUGGGAGAGGUAAGCGGAAUUCCUGGUGUAGCGGUGAAAUGCGCAGAUAUCAGGAGGAACACCCGUGGCGAAAGCGGCUCUCUGGGACGGUACUGACGCUGAGACGCGAAAGCGUGGGGAGCGAACAGG